UUGAAGAUGUAAGCCUCGACA
rnacentral:siRNA from 1 species